AGCGAACGCUGGCGGCAGGCCUAACACAUGCAAGUCGAACGAAGUCUUCGGACUUAGUGGCGGACGGGUGAGUAACACGUGGGAACGUGCCUUUAGGUUCGGAAUAGCUCAGGGAAACUUGUGCUAAUACCGAAUGUGCCCUUCGGGGGAAAGAUUUAUCGCCUUUAGAGCGGCCCGCGUCUGAUUAGCUAGUUGGUGAGGUAAAGGCUCACCUAGGCUACGAUCAGUAGCUGGUCUGAGAGGAUGACCAGCCACAUUGGGACUGAGACACGGCCCAAACUCCUACGGGAGGCAGCAGUGGGGAAUCUUGCGCAAUGGGCGAAAGCCUGACGCAGCCAUGCCGCGUGGAUGAUGAAGGUCUUAGGAUUGUAAAAUCCUUUCACCGGUGAAGAUAAUGACUGUAGCCGGAGAAGAAGCCCCGGCUAACUUCGUGCCAGCAGCCGCGGUAAUAC
rnacentral:rRNA from 1 species